GUAAUCUUGUCGACCCUCUUUGUAUUCCAGCCAGGGCAUCUGCUCCAGGUUGUUUGGAUAUUCGUUGAGACCCCCAGCCAUCUCACAGAUGGAGAUGAUGAUCUGCUGAGUCCAGAUGGUGCCUGUGAGUAAAAUAAAGGUUGUACGUGCAAGAACAGUGGGCACCAAUUACAGCCUCCAUCACAGCCUCCAUCACAACUAGGACCCCCUACUGUCUGAUCCUCUUCUCUCUGCAUGACACCACGAAACACCACGAAACACCAGGCAGAGCUACGCAGGGUUUGUGGAGAGCCGCCCCAGGUAUAGCAGACACACAGAAACUUUGGGUUACACCAACAUGAAACAUUGUUUUCCAGGGGCCCUGCACGUUUUUUUUUCAUUGGAUGGCAACCAAAAAAAACAAAACAAAACAAAAGCCAUAACUGGAUUUCAUGACAUAUGUCAUAUUGUUGUAGUACAGAGGCCAGUUGGAACUACACAUAUAAUUUGGUGUCUAAUUUAUUGUUAAUUUUAGCUGUCAAAGUGACCACAGAAAAAAUUGCUGAGCUGUGUUGGAGGGAGGAAAAUGCCACUCAUAGGAAAGACAUCCAUAGUGUGUCUAUGAGUCUUUAAAUACUGUGGUGAGCUGCAUUGAAGAAUGUCAAUGGAAAAUUGAUUUCUGUCUUUUAUGCACACUGUAGACUGCAAAUGCUUUCGAUUUGACACACAGGAGACACUAAUAAAGGUGAAUGUGGCAGGAAGACAUCAAACACUACACUUUACACUCACAAUCCUAGCAACACUUAACUAAAUUAACCAGGCUAACUAAACCACAAAAACACAAUAAAACACAAACAUGAAUAACACUAUAACGCAAAUAAAAACCACAAUAACGACAUUUAAACUCCCAACACCCCGAACUCCCAUGGUGCAUUGCAGCGCAACAGUCCCGUCUUAGCUACCGGCUCUGCGUUUGUGACAAUACUAAUAUGACACAGUUACUCUGCUGUGUAGGAUUUCUUAAUAUAUGUUUGUAAGGUUUUAAUAGUUUCUUCACCAAUUAUAACUGUAAGAUUAUUAAUAAUGUUUCUCCACCAAUAUAUAAAAUGUAGGAUAAAUGUUUGCUCAAAUGGGGUUAAGGUUUUUAUGCAGAAUUAUUAUAUAGUCUACCUGAUAUUUGACCAGUGAAGUAUUUAGAUUAGACAAAUAUAAUAAUGCAGCAUAUGAAACACUUCUUGUUGCGCUGUCAAGAAGAGCUUCAGGAAUUGUAAGGGGAAUCAUUUAGCUUGACAGGUUAUGUAUAAAAUUGAGGUAGCUGGAAUCUAUACAAGUUAGGGACCAAAAUGCGAACAACAAAACAAUUGAGGCACUGAACUUAUAUUUAUGCACAUUUAUUAAAUUAAAUUAAACUAAACAAUAACAACAACAAUAACACACAUUAAGGUGAAUAACAACAACACAAAACAAAAAGGAUGGUGAAAUGUGAAUGAUGGGAAAAGGAAGGAAGAGAACGCGAUAUUUUAGCGUAACACUGGGAUUAAUAUUACACUUGAAAUAUGGUGUUCUGAGGCAAAGGGUAAAAUAGGCCACACCUGAAAGCAGCCGUCAAUUUGAGAGUAGGCUAAUUUGUUAGCUUGUAAGUUUUAUCUUUGAAAAGAUAAUUUGGGUAAGUUGCACCAAGUUCCAGUGACUGAAAGAUACUUGCUUGCCAUGAUGAUGAUGACGAUGAUGAUGCUGCCUCGGUGGAUGGUCCGGUCGGCCUUUGUUGAUGUGGGGCAGAACAGCAGUGAACAGAGUGGAGCCUCGGAGUCGGGAGAAGGAGAGCUCUUAGAAAGGAGGACUCUGAUGGUAAAGGAGAGCUCUUUCUUCGAACGGCGGACUCUUGGGUUGGAAGACUCUUCCGGGAGGACUUCUGGGUAAAGGAGGACUCAAAGUGGUGCUUUCAGAUGUGGUCUUUUAAAGUGGACCUUUGCAUAUCAUAGUUUUUAUUUUCUUUUUUGUUUGUAUACAGCAAUGUACAUAUAAAUGAUACAAUUCAUUAAGAAUAUGCAGAAUUUAUGUUACAUGAUAAUUUGCUCAAAUUGUAUUUUAAUAAGACAGUAAUCACAACAGAGUGAACAUGAUGUUAUAUUUCCUCUUUUAUAAUUUCAUUAUUUAAUGUGAUAACUGACAACUAGUCAUUUAGCUGUUGUGACUGUUGUGAGUAGCACAAAAGUUAGAAAAAUAUCAGUAUGACACCAUCUACGAUAAAGGAAGAACUGUACAAAAGAAAUUAAUCAGAGUUUGCCUGUAUUAAUAAAGAAAUAGUACAUGAUAUCUGAAAGUGAAACACUAAAAAAAAUUGAUGUAGAAGAAUGUGCAGAUAAAAGAUACAAAUCAUAAAGAAUAUGCAAAAUUUACAGUGUGUUGCAUAAAAAGUGUUCAAAUUAUAUUUUAAUGAGACAGUAAUCACAAAAGAAUGAAUAUGUUAAGGUUAUAUUUCUUGAUUUCUCAUGUCAGGUGAUCUAUAUGCACCAUAAUGAUGUCUGUGGUUAUGUUCUAAGACAGGUUUCAUAAAAGGCUCAAUAAUCUCAGAAACAAAGUACAUACUACUCAAAAAAUAACAAGAAACUUUGCUGUUGUUCUUUCAGUGUUUCGGUCCUUUCAUCAGAGGUAACUUUUAUCUCUGUUCUGCUCUCUGUCUACAUCUCUGGAUAAAAUGGUGUCUCCAGGACAAUUUUCUUUUUCUCCAAUGUCGGUUGGCCUUCGUAUAGAGAGUCAUGGAUCUUCUGCCAUGAGUCCAUCUCUGAGCUCCACAGAGCAGCUCUGGCUCUGAUGAACUUUGAGACUUCAGUCUCGCUGCCUUUAGACAGACUGAUGCUGUCUUUGCAGAUGAAGAAGAUAUCCAUGCCAAGGAAGAGAGCGUUGGCUGCAAUGAAACCGGCCCUCGCUGUCUUGGUGAGCACAAGAGGCCCUUUGACUGCUGCCUGACCAAUAUCUGGGAUAUCUGCAGCCACCUUGGGAACGUUACGCAAGGCUUUCCCCUCCUGAGCCACCACCUUACCAGCACUUGCUGCAACCUGUUCCAUUUUUAACACCUUCAAAGCAGAGGCACCAUCAACAAGCGCAUCAAUGCCUUUACCAACAUUAACACCAACUUUAGCAAGUGCCACACCUACUCCCAGAGCUACAUCUACGUCAUUUGCUUCCAUUUUGCUGACUGGCUGAUUGACCACCUCCUCCAGAGAUCAACAGUGUGUCGACUGAAUCUGCUGUAAUCAGCCCUCAGCAAGGAAUUUAACAGGUGGAACAGGUUUUAUUUUCUUUUGGUUUUGUUUUCUCAUUUUGAGCUCCACCCAUUUCUGCAGUACAUUGUUCAAGUAUCCGAUGUCAGAUGGUAUUUGGAGAUAAGACAAUCAUAGCUGGACUUGUUGAAUACAGAUUCUUCAUGGUCGGAAAUGUGCAAGUUACCUGAAUAACAAUUAAAGUGACUGUUUAUCAACAUAAAACAUCUUUUUCCAGGGGCCCUGCAGAGGUUUUUCAUAGAAUAGCAAACAAGAAAACAAAAACCAUAACUGAAUUUCUUGCGUUCUGUUAUGUUGUUGUUGUAGUACAGAGACCUGCUGUAAAUCCUUAUAUACCACACAUACACUUUGGUUUCUCAUUUUACAGUUAAUUUUAGUUGUCAGUGUGACCACAGAAAUGAUGGUGAGCUGUAUUUGAGGGAGGAAAAAUUCACCCUUAGGCAAGAUAUCCAUAGUUUAUUUAUGAUUCUUUGAAUACGAAUACAACUCAGUCUGCAACAUACAAUAUCUCAAUCUGCUUUACAGCAAACAUCUGUUUUGUUUACAAAUAAUUUUCUGAUCUACUUUGGCUGAAAAAUACCCCAAAACUCGAAAAUUAUCUUUAGCUCUGGAACAUUAAAUACAAAGUUGGAAAGUUUCCCAUUUUACCCCGUUGAAAUGGUAUAGGUGCCCAGAUUUAUUUGUCCAAAGCAUGUGGUCUCAGAAACUUGGUCUCAAUGUGUGAAGAGGAACAUUACAAGCAGUUUCUCACAAUAUUGUGCUGUAAAUUCCAUUAAUGUGUGUGGAGACUACAGUGUUCAAGGUGAUCUGGUCUCUGGAGCCCUCCUGUUGAUAAAACAGGAACAGAUCUGAGUCCUUCUAGCAAGAUUUUUAAAUUGAAAACUAGUGAGACACUGGUCACUGAUCAUACCAGUCAAAAGUUUGGACACACUUUCUCAUUCAAUUGAAUGGAAAGUGUGAGACUAGUGUGAGUAACAGGGCUGCAACGAAUCAUAAUAUUUACCGUCAAUUAAUCUGUUAAGUUUUUUCGAUUGACUUAAUUGUAAUUAUUUGGUCUUCAAAUGUCAGAAAAUUAAGAAAAAUGUCGGCCAGUGUUUCUCAACUUAAAGAUAUUCAGUUUAGUCUUAUAGAGAAGGAAAGAAAGUAGAGAAUAUUCAAUUUUAAAUACAUGGACUUAGGUGGUCAGAAAGGUUUUGAUAUAUCAUCUACUAUAAAAGCAGAACUGUAUAAUCCUAAUUGAACCUUUGCCUGCUGUUUUGUCGCUAAAUCUUGUAGACUGUGGUUACCUUCAUACCAGCCUCAGUCAUUAAAGUUUGACUUUUGUUUCUGUA